GGGUGGCUGACAAAUAGCAUUAGACUUUUAAUCUAACCCAUGAUAGACACUGAACCUAUCCCC
rnacentral:tRNA from 1 species